UCUAAUAUGGCAGAUUAGUGCAAUGAAUUUAAGCUUCAUAUAUAAAGAUGGUUAUCUUUUAUUAGAA
rnacentral:tRNA from 1 species